rnacentral:rRNA from 1 species
UGAGAGCGGCGGACGGGUGAGUAAUACCUAGGAAUCUGCCUGAUAGUGGGGGAUAACGUUCGGAAACGGACGCUAAUACCGCAUACGUCCUACGGGAGAAAGCAGGGGACCUUCGGGCCUUGCGCUAUCAGAUGAGCCUAGGUCGGAUUAGCUAGUUGGUGAGGUAAUGGCUCACCAAGGCUACGAUCCGUAACUGGUCUGAGAGGAUGAUCAGUCACACUGGAACUGAGACACGGUCCAGACUCCUACGGGAGGCAGCAGUGGGGAAUAUUGGACAAUGGGCGAAAGCCUGAUCCAGCCAUGCCGCGUGUGUGAAGAAGGUCUUCGGAUUGUAAAGCACUUUAAGUUGGGAGGAAGGGCAUUAACCUAAUACGUUAGUGUUUUGACGUUACCGACAGAAUAAGCACCGGCUAACUCUGUGCCAGCAGCCGCGGUAAUACAGAGGGUGCAAGCGUUAAUCGGAAUUACUGGGCGUAAAGCGCGCGUAGGUGGUUUGUUAAGUUGAAUGUGAAAUCCCCGGGCUCAACCUGGGAACUGCAUCCAAAACUGGCAAGCUAGAGUAUGGUAGAGGGUAGUGGAAUUUCCUGUGUAGCGGUGAAAUGCGUAGAUAUAGGAAGGAACACCAGUGGCGAAGGCGACUACCUGGACUGAUACUGACACUGAGGUGCGAAAGCGUGGGGAGCAAACAGGAUUAGAUACC